CAGCUAGUUGGUGAGGUAACUGCUCACCAAGGCUACGAUGUUUAGGGGAUCUGAGAGGAUGACCCCCCACACUGGUACUGAGACACGGACCAGACUCCUACGGGAGGCAGCAGUAAGGAAUAUUGGUCAAUGGGCGCAAGCCUGAACCAGCCAUGCCGCGUGCAGGAAGACGGCCCUACGGGUUGUAAACUGCUUUUAUACCGGAAUAAACCCCUUUACGUGUAGAGGGUUGAAUGUACGGUAAGAAUAAGGAUCGGCUAACUCCGUGCCAGCAGCCGCGGUAAUACGGAGGAUCCAAGCGUUAUCCGGAUUUAUUGGGUUUAAAGGGUGCGUAGGUGGUUCUUUAAGUCAGGGGUGAAAGACGGUAGCUUAACUAUCGCAGUGCCUUUGAUACUGAAGAACUUGAAUACACUAGAGGUAGGCGGAAUGUGACAAGUAGCGGUGAAAUGCAUAGAUAUGUCACAGAACACCAAUUGCGAAGGCAGCUUACUAUGGUGUCAUUGACACUGAGGCACGAAAGCGUGGGGAUCAAACAGGAUUAGAUACCCUGGUAGUCCACGCCCUAAACGAUGAAUACUCGAUGUUGGCGAUAUACGGUCAGCGUCUAAGCGAAA
rnacentral:rRNA from 1 species